AAAACUCAAGAUUGCACUACACAAUGAUACCACCGUGGUUGAGGAUAAGGCAUUCAGAUUAACUCCAUCCACUUUAUUGAGUGUGGGUUGCCUUAUAUAUGUUUCUCUCUAAUAUAUGAACGUGACUUAUUGAUACAUACCCUUGGUAGUAAUUGAUUUCUUACACGACAUUAGACUGACAUUAACACAGUGUGCUAACCUAGUGUGGUUGUCACUGACUGAAUAUGCUUGGUUUUGUUCUUAAUUCUCAAGUUAUUGAUGGUUUAGAUUUAUAACAAACUUCCAUUCAAAAUACGAGAGGUUUGACUGGUUGCAAUGGAGUGUAAGAGCAUCACUUCCUGACUGGUUAAUGCAUAUCUCUACCGGUCGCUAAUGCAGAGGAUCCGGAAAAGAUCAAGUCUGAAGCUAAGAAAAAAAGUGGAUGCCAUAUGCAUCUCUGCUUUAACUGGUGAAGGGUUAGAUGAUUUCUCUGUAAUGCAGUUCAGGAAGAACUAAAGGAAUACAUCAAAGGAUGGAGCUUUGGUUAGAGCUCAUGUUCCACUCCGCUUUGCAAGGCUUCUCACUCCAAAGAGACAAACUUGAGUGUCAUAGCUGUUUCCAGGGCUUCUUCCAAGUUGUUCAAAAAGGUUUGAGCGUUUGAAGAAGGCACGAUUUUUUCUGGCCUUGCUGUGAUUGAUGCUUACAGCUACAGAGACAAGUGGCCAUGAAUGGCUUUGAUGCCGAAACUUUUUGGCUCCACUUGUUAACAUAUGGAGCUAUAUGAGCAAGAUGCUGAUGUUGUCAAUUACACAAUCCAGAGUAAAACUACUGCUUGAAGGUAAUGGAAAACCAUGUAUAUCUUCAUUUUGAUUAGUGACUCUUCGUCUACUUGAGGAGCAGAAAGUAACAUUAUGUUUGCUGAUCAAUUUGCCAACUUGAUCUCUUAAUGCAUAUAUGUGAUCCACUGCUAGCUGACCGCCAUCCUUCCACUCUCUCUUACUCUUAUUUGAACUUGAGUUUAAGUAUCUUAAUAUUCUCUUGGGACUGUGAUGGAACAUCUUCAUAUGUGAUCCGCUGAAAGCUCAGUGCCACCAUCCAUCUCUUACUCUUAAUUUAACUCGACUUUUAGUAUCUUAAUGUUCUCUUGGGACUGUGAUGAAACUUCCUAAACCAAUUAAUGGACCAGCAGGAUAUUUUCUCUCAAGUGCCAUCUAGAAAGGUAUAUUCUUGGUUAUGCAGUAUCUGUUUUUAUGCUUCAAAUUAGAGCAUGCCGCAAUGACAUUUGUGUUGUUUUCUUUUGUGCCUUACUUCAUUAUUAUGUAUUAAUGCAAAGGAUAGAUGUCAUACGAUUUAUAGUCUCUUAUAGAAGUGUUGUUACUGGUAAUUUAGGAGGAAUUCUUUUAUUUGCAAGUUUUGUUGUUGAUAUAUCAUUUUUCAGUAAUACUUGUAACAUGCGUUUAUUUGAUUCUACAAGUGAAGCAUGUCACUUGGUAUAUGUGAUUCAUACUUGUCCUUUACAAGAGCGAGGGCUAGAGUUUGAAUUUGGUUUGCUAAUUUCGUGCAAAGUAGAUAACCUCAUAUCGAUAAGGAUUGUGUGGGAAUCAAAAGUUUAAGUAGGAUUUAAAUGCUCAAUUAAAACAUAUG